rnacentral:lncRNA from 1 species
GCUACAGUGGGACUUGCAAGUGUACGGGUGCCAAAUGUCAUUUCUUACGGCGUCUUACAUCUUCGUUUUACUAGAGUCGGUAGCAGGAUACAGGUCGAUCCCAUGUUACUUUAAAUUACAAUAGAUUUAAGGUAGUUAGUACAGUUGUAGUUAUUCGAUACUACACUAUAGUAAUAUUUCAUUUUCCCAUUACAUUCACUUCGUGAACAUUCACACGAUGCACGGUAAUGUAGAAACUAUAUUUUUGGUUAAUGAUAGUCAGAUUUGGGUAAAUAUACACUUUUACAAGGGAAACAGUCAAUACUAGAUGCCUUAGUAGAAGGCUACUUUCAGUAGGAAGCAUAGGGUUUCCUAGGAUAUUCAAAACUUUGACAUAUUCAUACUUACAAUUACAUUUUUCCAAAUACAGACACUAAAAUACUUAUGAUCUCACCAGCUUUAAAGCUGAUACUCUCUUUCAAAAUAACUUGUAUCCUCAGGUAGUCAUUAGAUAGGUACCGAUGCAAGGUUUAGAGAAGAUGGAGCUCGUUUUGUGCUUAUACUUUUGGUUUAUUUUUCAGGUACUUCCAGUUCGAAGUGGAAGGCCCCGACCUAAUCGUAGGGCAUUCAUCCGUGUUUUUCGCAAUUUUUAUGAUUUUGGGAUUUGUACUUUUAUAAUUAUUUUCAUAUUGACAUACUUUCAUGGUUUAAUUUGGUGAUUUAAUGGAUUUUGGUUGAUUUAAAAAUGAAAUUUUUACUUUUUAUUUUCGAAAUGUUACAGUUCUGAUGGAUGAGUGUUUCACAGUUUGCACAUAAAACUAAAAUAUGGUUUAUUUCAUUUGUGUUUUGAUGUGUUGCGAUAAAUGAGUGUUUCACAUUGUCUACCCAUAACUCUCAAAGAAAUAGAUAUUCUUAUAUUUUCAAUACUUUAACAUACUCAUACUUACAAUUACAUUCUUACAAAUACAGACACUAAAAUACUUAUGAUCUCACCAGCUUUAAAGCUGAUACUCUCUUUCAAAAUAACUUGUAUCCUCAGGUAGUCAUUAGACAGGUACCGAUGCAAGGUUUAGAGAAGAUGGAGCUCGUUCAAGACUCAUCUUUCAUUUUGGUUUAUACUUUAGUGUCUAUUAUAAUUUGACAGAAGACACUUGUAUUAAAAUUAUAUUAUUAAUGCAAUGGAUGAUGUUGUUGCUUGUUUACUACUAUUCAUUGUUGUGAUACUGUACAUGACGUCCUCCGCCCCAAAACGUUUCUGCCGUUCAUGGUUUUGGGGUGUGACAAACUGGUACCAGAGCAUUCUUUAUAGUGAAUUGAGUAUAUCAACCCAUAAAAGAUAUACAGACUAUAAAUAUAAUGGGAUUAAAAUACUCUGACCAAGAGUUUAUACUUUAAAUAAUAAAAUAUUUAAUUAAGUAUAUGUGCCUACAUUCAUACUAAAAUCAGUGUCACUAGGACAGUACAAAAGAAUUACGAUUGUUGAGCAGCACAAGUAGACUUAGAGACAUAUAGUCAAAACUGGGAAGAUAUAGCCUAAUCAACUAUAUUAUCUGAGGGUUGACUAGCAUGUGCCUAAGUGUAGUUGGGAGGUUGCAACAAGUCUAAAAUCUUACCAACAAUACCACAAGGAGAACAAUAGAACAUGAACCUAAAAUACUAUAGGGGUAUUUGGUGUUACUAUAAGUACUUUAUACUUGAGAACUAUAAAGGAUCUUCAUUACUAAGUUGAUAUUUGCUAAGUGGAUACACUAAGGCUAUAUGUAACUAGGAUGUUAUAGACAUAGAAUAUGUGAAAAUUUUUGCUUUACCCCUAUUCCUUGUGAAUUUGGAGUUAAGGUUACUUAUUCGAAGGCCUAUCAUGUUUCGAUUACAUAUAACUGGUAUGCACUUCACAAAUAGUGAUGUAACUAAUGAAGAUUUUCUAAAUAAUUAUCUAGAUAGUUCGUCUAAUAAUUAUUUUCUUACUCCAAUUCUCGCAUAGAUAACAUGGCUGGUCUCCAUCCCCACGGCAAUUCGUACCUUCCGAACGAAGUCAUUGCUGGAUGGUUUGGAGAAGAACUAGAGAAUGAUCAUCCUAUCCCUUUGAAUUAUCACCAUGAUGAAGACCUUUUGGAUGGUGCUAACUCCGAACCGGAGGUUGAGAACCUACCCCAGGCAGCUCUCUUUCCAAAUCCUAACCCUCGUCCGGCUUUUCAUGGCCUGACGCCUCCAUGGGUAAAAUGCUUGGAAAUAUGGAGCCAAGGACAAGAUCCGCCCAUGCCAUUUAACGGUGAUCAAAGCUUUUAUGACCUGAGUAAUGGGGGCUCAGCUGAUAGAAUCUUGCCAAUCCUGGUCUGUAGAGUGGCUCGAAAUGAGAUUCAAGGCAGGACAGCCCUACAACAGAUCACAGAAGUUGUCACCAAUGCAAGAAUGCAUACCCUUCGCACCAUUCGCCUGGAAGAUGCUCAUGAGAUAUCUGAAAGAGACCAUGAACCCCUGCUUCAAGCAUUGGCUGAAUCACGAGCCGAAGUCAUAGAGCUCUGAGUACACCAUAGGGUGUACGAAAGACACCUGCUUGAUGUGGAACGCCAACUGGCUGAACUAAGAGUUCACCAGAGGAAUUAUCGUCACUAGUAGGAGAUGCUUUACUUUCCUUCUUUGUUUUAAAGAACCGUGUUCGUGUCUAUGUCCUAUGUGGCAUUUUUCUAUGAAACUAUCUUGUACUGUAAGUACUUUUAGUUGGGCCCUUAUGCGGCCAGAACCUUUCUGCUCUGGAUAUGAUGUAAGACAUUUUGUAAGGUCAAUUUUUCCUGAACUUAUGCGUCAUGAAUAUCAAACAUAUUGGCAUUCGGCUAACUUAUGUGUCAUUCUUUAUUCAAAUACUUUCAUUGUGCUAUCUUGGGAUUCUAUCUAAAACCUACUCUAGUCGAGUUAUUGAACUGGGGUAUUCUAGCUCAGGAAUAAUUCCCAUUUCUUCUUCAAGGGUUGGAUCAUGUUAUUUACCAACCAAUGGUACCCUAUUUUAGACGUCAAGUGUCCUACGACCAUACUACAAACUCACUUCUAUUCUACUAUGGGACUGCAUCAUAGGGAUGUAGGUGAAACCUUCGCGAACAUACUUCUACUCUGUACUAGGACUGCAUCAUAGGGAUGUACGUCAAACCCCCGAGAACAUAUUGCUACUCUUUACUUGAUCAAUCGAAAUUCAUCUAGGUUCAACCAUACUAGCUCACGAACUCCUUUUCUUUUCGUGUAACAGAAUCAUGUCGGCAUUCGGAAAUAGUCAGCCGAACAACAAAACCCCUGCCUUUCCUAUGGACGUCGCUACUUUCCAAGCCGCAGUUACAGCUGUCAUGAUGGCUGCCAUGAAAGUUGUCCUUGCAAGCCGCAGCACUGUCAACGCAAACAAGACUGAUAAAGGAGUUGACAAUUCUGAUCAUGGUAACUAUCCGAGAAAUCAACAAAUAGUAACAUUCGUCACCACCCAAAACAACAACUCAGAGUUCAAGAAACGAAAACGUCAAGCCCAAGUGGAACGCAAGCAAUUUCAGAGGAUUGCCAUGCAACAGCAACCAGUGGCAACCCCUUCCAUCACAACACCAGUCAAACGAUAUGAAGGAGCACUCCCGAAGUCUGAGCGGUCCAACUAUCACCAUAAGGGAAUUUGCCGAGUACGACAAUGCAACAAUUACAACAAGAUGAGGCACAUUGCUCAUUUCUAUAGAACUACCUCCACCACUGGAGCUAGCCUAUUUUGCUAUAAUUGUGGUGAGGCAGGGCACUAUUAUAGAAACUGUCCAAAAUAGAAGAUCAACGAAAGCAACCAUGUCCCCAUAACUCCUACUCGACACUUCACUUCCACUACCGAUGCUGGCACUAGCCAGAUAUGUCAUUUAUGUGGAGAGAUGGGACAUCUCAAGAAGGACUGUCCAAUAGCAAAGAACUUGGGCACAGACGGGAAGAUUCUCAGGAUCACAGCUGCAGGAGAAACUACGUUGGACCCUCGUUUGAGUAUCUAAGGCGUUCGUUGUAACAGACUUAUAAACUGUUUCAAACAAGUGCAACUAGAUUCUUAUCUUUUGUGAGAUCCUGGCAGUAAAAGGACCCUCAUGCUGCGUAUACUUGCCUUUUGUAGUAUACUUUGUUCACAGCAGUAUUCCAGUAGAUACUCUAAAGUAUUGUAACUCUGAUAAAAGUUGCACCGUUGUAGUUUGUCAGUAACGCCUUUAUGUUCAAAUCUAAUGUCUUUUACUUCUAAGUAAGUCUGACAUUAUCAUACGACUUGAGAUAAUUCGAUCUGCACAAUACCAGCUUCAUACGUAUAUCCCUUUCUCCGUAAACGUCUUUUUAACGAAGCCGUCAUUUCAUAACUCGGAAGUACUCCUGCUUAGAGUACCUCAUGUUUCUUAUCCCUUCCGAAGAAACCUCAGCGAAAAUCCCCGAAGUACCACUCGUACAGUACGUCAAGUUCAAUCCAAAGAUCAGUACGGUUGACCAAUCGUGGAAUAAUGUAUACACAAGGGUGGUAUAUGAUCAUGAUUCUACAGGUUUAGAAUUGAUGAUUCCCCUUUAACUUCCUUUCCUCGUUGGGAUGUGAACUUAAAGAAGAAUCAUUUAUUCUACUACCUUUUCAAUCUUAAUUAUAUACGACUCGUAUAUACGAGACUGUGAUUGAUUAACCAUGUAUGAAUUCUUAAUAAGAACUUCAGGACGAAGACAGUUCAAAACUACGAGUAAUCGCAUCGUCAUGUGAACAAAACUUAGAACCCAGUAUGACUCCUGCAACCAGAGCGCCCUACAGUCUAAACACCCACAGAAAUACAAAAACAAUCCGGACAACUUAGCGAACUACUCAGCAAUAGAAUACGAAGACCAAGCUCCUCGCCCUGGAGAGCUCCGGUCUUAUUCCUCAUAAAGGUGGACAAGUGGUAUCAUAAGUACAUCGACUAUCGGGAACUCGUCAAGAUUUCAAUUAGAAAUCAUUAUCUCUGCCUCGCAUGAAUGUGUGGGCUAAGCAAACGCGAGGAACGAAUUACACUUCAGAAAUGGACCUGAGAUCCGAUGAUCACUAGUUUCGAGUGUUAGCGAAGGAUGUACCGAAGACAACCUUCCAAACUCGAUGCGGACACUACGAGUCCGUAGGGAUACCCCUCGGAUAGGACAAUUACGCCCGUAGUAUUCAUGAGCUUAAUGAAUAGGGUACGCCAUUCUUACUUGGAUCAGUUCGUCAUUCUCUUUGUAAAUGACUUACUUAUCUACUCUCGUAGUAAGAAGGAAAUCAUAAAAAGCAUCUACAACAAGCCAUGGAAACAUUACCAUCAGAGAAACUCUUCACGAAGUUCUCUAAACACGAUUUUUGGAAUUGAAGAGUCAAAUUCCUAAGACACACUAUUAGUGAUGUGGAAAUUCUUGAGUACUCUGUCAAUUUAUCAAAACCAUUGAGAAUUUUUCGGCACUGAAGAUGCCCACAAAAAUUCGCCAAAUUCGAGGUCUCGCAGACCUACCGUCGUAGUCCAUUCAGAACUCCUCGCGAAUUACAGAAACCCUUACGACUUUGACCCAGCAGGGGGUGGCCCUUGACUGGGAAGAUAAGCAAGAAAAAGAAACCUUGGAAUUCCAAGUGAGAGACCAAAUUCUUUAGGAAGUCCCACUCUGUGAAUGGCUUGAUACGCUUCGGAAAGCGUGGAGAGCUAAAUCCAAGAUAGUUAGGACUUCCGAGAUUCUUACCAGAAUCGGUCUUGUAUCUCACAAACUAGACCUACUCCGCGAGCUUAGUAACAUACAUUCUACCCUUCACGUCUCGAACUUGUAAAAAGUAUUGUCCCAACGAGACUCUUGAAAUACCACUCAAGAGAUCAAGUCCCAUAAGAGCCUCACCUACGUGGAAGAACCGUAGUGACAUUGGACCGAGACGUCAUGAGAACGAUUCAUAGUCGUGUCUCUUUAGUGAAGGUCCGUUGGGAUGCCAACCAAGGACCCAAAUUCACUUGGGAGCGCGAGAAUCAAUCAUUUAGGAAGCAUCCCCACUUCUUGGCUCGAUUAUUCAUGCCUACUUCCUUACCUAAAUUCUAAUUUCAGGAGGAAAUUCCUUCUAACGGGGAGAUGAUGUAACAACCCGAAAUUUAUAUUCUGUACAACUCUUCGAUUCAAUAGAAGUCAGAAAAGUUGCUGCUAAGUUUCAAUUUUUUGGAACAAGUUUGAGUAACUAAGGAUUUACACUUCGGGUGAUAUCAGGAGAGAGGAUGCCCUAGGGUUUAUUAUGCAACACUAUUAUUCUAAAACUCCAAGAAAUUAGAGUUUGCUGCCUGAAUAAUUUAUUUACAGCCAAAAACCUUAAAUCUGGGAGUAUAUAUACGACAAUUAGUCAUUAUUUACACUUUUUCCAAAUCUCAAGAUCCAAAUCCAAUUCUCUCUCAAGUAUCAUCCAAAAGUUUUUCAAGAUCUUUAAUCUAGUAAGUGUUUCUAGCCUUCUUAAGUUGUUAUAUGACUUAAUCUAGUGUUUUAACACACUUCUAACCGUGAAAUCAUUCCAAAAGCACCAAUCUUCAAGUUUCACCAAGAACACACACUAGUGUUCUUGGACUUUUAGCACCUUUUCAAGCUUCUACCUUGUAAGUGCUUCUAUCCUAGAGUCUUAUAAGCUUUGUUUCACUUCUAAACACCAAGAAAGCACCCAAAAAACCAAGGAUCAAGGGUGUUUACGGUCCAAGAACAUCUUGGGCCGUAAACCCAAAUUUUGGUGCCAAAGUGUGACUUAUCCUUUCAAAAUCCUUUGAUAUUAACCUAGAACAUUACCUUGAUGUGUUUAGCACAUAAAAACCACCAAAAUAUCUCAUUUAUAUGUGUUUACGGUUUGGGGAUCUCCCAAAACCGUAAACACCCCAAAAUGUGGUAUAAUAACCCAUAUUCCUUCCUUAUGCCUAGAAUUAAGCCUAGACUUUUACCAUGAAGUGUUUGGGACUUAAAAACAUCAAAAUACCAUGGUCCAUAGGAGUUUACCAUAGCAAACACAUGGAGAAAUGGUACAUGGGCCGUAAACUCCAUUUAGGAGUGUAUUGAUGCCACAAACACUUCCUAAGGCUUAAACAUGAAGUAGGAAUGCUUGGAAUGACUUAGAAGACUUCAAAUCAACAAAUGGUCAAAAGGUUAUUUUAACAUCCCCAUUUUCACGGCCAGAAAAGACCGAUUUUGUUUAUGAUUUGUUUGAAAAUCAGAGUAACAUUUUAAAUAAAGUGUUGCGGAAUUUGUCCCAAAACAAAAUAUGAUAAAGAUUUAUCAAAAGCAUUUCCAAGGACAUGUAUUUCAUUAAAAUACUUGGGAUGUCAUGUUUGAUACAGAUCAAAAGCAUAAAUAGUACAAUAUAAGCCUUACAACAUUAUUUCAUAUCUACAGGCCUAUAUCUGUAAUCCCUCAUCCCAAAACAUCACAUCUAUGCUCAUGCACCACCACCUGUAAUACAAGAAACGGAGUGGGUUAGGCUGGGGAGCCUGGUGAGCACAUAGGGUUUUCAAACCACAAUAAAUAAGUUUAUUAAUUUCAUCAAUCAACAAUAACCCGAUUACCCAUUCCGGUUAUCCUCACUUUACGUCCCUAAACACCUAUCAUAAGGGACCUAGCCUAAGGAUCAUCAUCGGGGUGGACACUCCUGCUAAGGGGAUUCCUUAGCAAUAAAUGUCCUAAAGGCAACCAUGUGGGGGAUGGAGUAGGACAGUGAACACAUCGUUCACAAACACCUGUAGGUUGCGAGCAUGCUAGUGUUCCACUGGACUGUCCAGAAGAUUCUGUGGCCGUCAUCCAUACUCCGCUAGAUGACAGAAUCAACAACAUCAACACCGAGGCCUCUCAUCAUUUUAUCACACGUCACAUAUUACAUCUACCCAUGUUUUACCUCAAUAUUAUCGUAGAUAUAAAAUACAUAUACAAUUUAAAUCAUUGAAAACAUGUAUAACAAUGUUCAUCCAGCAUAGAUAGCAAGUAUUUAAGUAAUAUGCACACAUAGCAUGUAAUUUAUAUAAAAUACUUCAUAUCUAUGUGUAAGCUGAAAGUAAUUAUGCACUCACCUGAAAGGUGGUGACUCAACACUUGGACAGCGCUUCGAUACUCUGAAAACAAUUUUCCUUCGAUAAAACUGUCACACCCCAAAACCAAGAACGGCGGAAACGUUCUGGGGCAGUGGACGUCAUGUAUAAUAUCACAAGAAUGUAAAGUAGUAAACAAGAAAAAACAUCAUCCAUUGCAUUAAUAAUAUAAUUAUUAUACAAAUGUGUUCUGUCAAAUUUUGAUAAACACUAAAGCAUAAAUCAAAAUGAAAGAUGAGUCUUGAACAAGCUCCAUCUUCCUUUCUCCUUGCAUCGGUACCUAUCUAUGAUAACCUGAGGAUAAAAGUAAUUUUGAAAGCGAGUAUCAGCUUUGAAGCUGGUGAGAUCACAAGUAUUUUAGUGUCUUAAUUUGUAUGUAAGUAUUUGUAUGUAAGAAUUUGUAUAUGAACUGUAAGUAUGAAGAUGUUUGUAAAACAACUGUAAACAUUUGAAAAACUCUAGAAUCCCUAUGAUUCCUACUAUUAGAUGAAGGUGUUUUCUACCAAGACCUAACUGCUCUGAAUGUAGCCUUAGUACUACCCUUUGGUACCAGGGUAACUAACGAUGUUAACUGAUGACAUUUGUAGAUGUACAUUUACCUUUGUUGCUAACAGCUGGGUAUAGGAAUAGUCAGUCCCUUAAAGUAUGCCUGUAAUGGUAUCAACCGUUGACAUCCGUGGAUGUGCUUUUACCUCUGUAGCUAACAGAGAUUUUAGGAAUGGUUAGUCCCGCAACGUAUCCUUUUGUACUAGGAUAUUAAAUCCAAUCUAUCUCGUCGAUUAUGUGAUUGUAUCACAAGGUAAAGAUAAGAAUGAGGAUUUGAUAAUAGAGUCUAUACAUAUAAAAUGUAAUAGAACUCAUCCUAUAAUAUCUAUCUAAAAGUACUCAUAUAAGUGUGAUCAUGUAAUUGUAUUUAUGUAAGUGUGAUCAUGUAAUAUAUAGUAGUGUACUGUAAUGUUCUACGUGUGCUAGCUGUAAUGUGUGUUCUCUCUAUAUAGCAAGUAUAGUAAUGUACUGUAAUGUUCUAGAAGGUAUUGACUCAUGAAUGAACUGACUCAUUGUAUGAUAUCGUGUUCUAGUAAUAGUUCUAGUAUCUUCCUAAACUACCCAUAUGGUAGUUUACUAGUAAUCUAACUGGUACGUAUGGACAUGGAUGUAUACCCUUGCUACCCAAGGGCAUGGGAUGAACUGGAAGGACCUUUUAUGACUAUAUAUGUACACAUGAUAUAUAACUAAUAUUUAAACGACCUUCGGACGAGUACCCGAUAUCCCACCAGACCACAUCUCAAGCGCGAAAAGGAAAUAGGGUGGAUAGCCUUCCUAAGUCUUUUAAACAUUUCUUAUAUAACUAUACAUAUAGAGGCAUGCAAUUUAUAAUAUAAAAGCAUAAAUAAGUUUUGUAAAACAUUUGAAACAUAAUUAUUAUUUUAAGAAAAGAUCGACUUGAUGUCAACCUAUAAAACAAUUUGAAGGCAUGGGUUUGAUAAAACAGUUUAGUAUAAAGAAACAUUUGUUUGAAACACAAUUGUAAAUAAGUUUGAAAUGUGAUAUACAGAGUAAAAUGUACAGUGUAAUAAGGAGUUUAAAACAUAUAAAAUGUUUAUAAAAAUCAUUUGAAGGAAACUGUUUGGUAAAACGGCUAAUGAGUAGCCAAAUCAUUUGAAUGUUGUAUAUUAAUCACAUGUGAUUGAUGUAAUAAGUAGCAUAAUUCUACUUAUUAAUCACAUGUGAUUGAUAUAAUAACUAGCAUGAUUCUACUUGUACCCCCCCCAUAAAACAUUUAAAAAUAGUUUAAAACAUUAGUUAAGGGGUAUGAACUCACCUGCAGUAAGUGACUGGAGUUGAACGGACUGUUAUCGUACGGAAGGAUCGGACAAGUGCUUGGUGUCAAGUGAAGACUUAGACACACACAAUGAUCCUAAUUUCAUAUGAAAGCAUAUGUAUAUAAAUAAUUAGUGAUUAAAACACUAAUUAUACAAGUAUAAACAUUUAAACGCGAGGAAAACACUUUUGGUCAAGUGCUAGGAGGCUAAUGGGUUGCAACAAAGGAGUGCAAUGCCCCUAAUGGGAGUUUAAGGUCUAAUGACCAUAUUCUUUGGAGUUUAAGGCCCAGGGGAGUAAACUCCUGGCCGUAAACUCUCAACCAAGUCCCUAAAUGGAGCUUAGAAUUAUUACAACUCAUGUGGUGAAUUGUUUCAAGGCUAUAACAAGUGUUUGGGUGCCAUAUUAACUCCUUUGGGGAGUUUACGGCCCAGAGACCAUAUUCCCUUGGAGUUUACGGCCGUAAACUCCCUUGGGAGGGUUUUUAUGGUGUUUUCAAGUCUCAAACAUUUCUAGGUAAUGAUCUAUGUUGGGUUCUAGGCAUAAGGAAGGAGUUAGGGUGUCAUUUGACCCCUUUAUAGGUGUUUACGGCCCAAGAGUUUAUCUUGGCCGUAAACUCCUUUUUCCUUGUGAUUCCUUAUGUUUUCUAGGCUUUAAACACUUUAGGGUACUUGUCCUAAUUGAAGUCUAAGCUUUAGGAGUGAUUAGGGCACAUUUAAGCCCUUGAAUUUGGUGUUCACGGUCCAAGAAACUCUUGGGCCGUAAACACCUAAAGCUAGGUGUUCUUGAUUGUUUUCUAGUCUCAAAUGAUCAUACAUAUUAUCCUAAGCUAGUUACCUAACAAGGAAAUGGGACUAGAUGGCCUUUAAGCUUCAUUUUCGAGUUUACUCCCCAAGAACGUUCUUGGGCGGUAAACUCCCGGAUCUCAUAUAUUUGACAUACAAUCUAUUUUAAUAAGCAUAAAACAAGCAUUAUAACACAACUAGAGAAGUGUACUCAUGAUUUAGGAUGAAAACCCGAAGAUCCGUGAGAGAGAAAACGGCUUUUCUCUAGUUGGAAAUGUGAAUAAUGAAUGAAUUUAGUUCAGACAUCUAUUUAUAGUCCUGAAAUAUUUUUGGCAGAAAAUAUUUUUAUUCCGGAAUUGGACUCUAACAUUAUGAAGUUUUGAAAUGCUCAAGUUUCACAAUCCCAUGAGCAUCCACUCUCCUGAUAUCUCCUUAAACGUAAACCCUAAUGUACACAAACUUAUUCGGAAAAGUUUAAAAUUCAUUGAAACUGGACUAGCUUCUGUUGGCUUCAAAUGGUUGAUUCAGAAUGGAAAUUUCGGGUUGUCACAUCAUCCCCCAGUUGAAGGGAAUUUUGUCCCGAAAUUAGAGUUUAAGCAAGGAAGUAUGUACGAAUGAUCGAGUCGUGAGGAGGAAACUUCCUAAUGGAUUGGUUCUAGCGCACCUAAGUGAAAUCGGGUUCUCAGUUGGCAUUCCAACGAACCUUCACUAACUGGCGACGACGUUGUUUCGUCCGCUUGACCUCUCGGUUGAGGGUCACUACGGUUCUAAUACGAAGGCGAGGAUCUAGACGAGUGGACUUACAAGAGUCCUAACGGAAAGGUAUGGUUUCACGAUCGAGACACGAAGAGUAGGAUGUACGUUAUUGAGUUCAUGGAGUAGGUCUAGUUUGUGCGAGGCACAGGACCGAUUCAUAUGAGAAUCUCGGAGGUCCUAACUAUAUUGGAUUUAGCUUUCGACGAGAUACGAAGCGUAUUAAGCCAUUCGCAGAGUGAUACUUCCUAAAGAACUUGGUCACUCACUUGGAAUUCCAAAGGUUCCUUUUCCUACUUAACUUCCCAAUCAAAGGCCACCCCUUGUUGGGUCAAAGCGGUACGGGUUUCUGUAGCUUGUGAGGAGUUCUGAAUGAACUAAGACGGUAGGUCGAUAAGACCUAGAAUUUGGCGAAAGACUGUUGGCGUCUCUGGUGUCGAUAAAUGCUCAACGGUUUUCACAAAUUGAAAGAGUGCUCAUAAUUUCUCACAUUACUAACAAUGUGUCAUAGAAAUUUGACUCUUCAAUUUCAAAACUCGUGCCUAGAGAACUUCGCUAAAGUUCCUCUGUAGGAAAUGUUUCCCUGGGUUUUCUUCUUACUACGAGGGUAGAUAAGUAAGUCAUUACAUGGAGAAAUGACGAAUUGAUCCAAGUAAGAAAGACGUAACCCUAUUCAUUUAGCUCAUGAAAACUAUGGGCGUAUUGGUCCUAUCCGAAGGGUAUCACUACAGACUCGAAGUGUCCGCAUCGAAUUCAGAAGAUAGUCUUCCGGACAUCCUUCCCUAACACUCGAACUGAUGAUAUUAGGAUCUCAAAUCCAUUCCUGGAAGUAGUUUCUUUCCUUGCGUUUUCUCAACCAUUUCGUCUACGCGAGGCAGAGAUAACUAUUUCUAAUGAAAAUCUUGACGGAGUCCUCGAUAUCCGAGGCACAUACGAUGCAAUCCGUCGAUCUCUGGGAGAAUAUGACCGGGGGUUCUCUAGGGUGAGAAACCUAGUCUUCUAAUUCUCUUUCUGUGUAGUUCGUUAAGUUGUACGGACUGUUCUUGUAUCUCCGUUGGUGUUUAAACUAUAGGGUGAUCUGUUUACGGGAGUCGUAUUGGGUUCUAAGUUUGUUCACAUGACGAUGUGAUUACUCGUAGGCUUAAGCAGUUCUCCGUCCUGAAGUUCAUAUUAGAAUUCAUACAUGGUUUCACAAUCACAACUUCGGGUAUACGAGUCGUAUAUAAUUAAGGUUGAAAAGGUAGUCGAAUAACUGAUUCUUCUUUAAGCUCUCAUCCCAUCGGGGAAAAAAGAAGUUAAAGUGGAAUCAUCAAUUCUAAACCUGUAGAAGCUUGAUUAUAUAUCACCCUUAUGUAUACCUUCCUCAGUGAUAGAUCAAUCACAUAAAUCCUUGGAUUAAACUUGACGUACUGCACGAGUGGUACUUAGGGGGUUUCUUCGGAAAAGAAAGGAACUAUGAGGUACUCCAUGCAUGAGUACUUCGGUGUUCUGAUAUGACGGCCUCGCUGGAAAAGCGAUCUAGAAGAAAGAGAUGUAUGUGUGAAGCUGUUUUCGUGAACAACAAAUAGAAUCGAGUCGUAUGAUAAUGUCGGAAUCAUACUGAAACUUAAAGACAUUAGAUUUGAACAUAAGACGUUUACAGACAGAACUUAACCGUGCAACCAUGAACAGAGUUACAGUACUUUAGACUUACAUCAAGACCAUUGCUACAAAUAAGGUAUACUACAAAAGACAAGUAUACGCAGUACGAGCAUCCUUAUACAGACAGGAUCUCGCAAAAAGGUAAGACUCUAGUUGCACUAGUUAUGGAUAGUUUAUAAGUCUGUUACAACGAAAUGCCUAAAUUACAUUAACGUGGUUUCGGAGCAGGCUCUCCCGCAGCUGUAAUCCUGAGAAUUUUCCCAUAUGUGCCAGAGUUCUGCGUUAUCGGGCAAUCCUUCUUGAGGUGUCCAAUUUCACCGCAUUGGUGACAUAUCUGGACAGCACCCACAUCAGUGGAGGAAGUGAAGUGUCGAGUAGGAGUUAUGGGGACACGGUUGCUCUCGUUAAUCUCCCCUUUUGGGCAAUUUCUGUAAUAGUGCCCUGCCUCACCACAACUAUAGCAAAGUAGGCUUGCUCCAGUGGUGGAGGUAGUUCUACAGAAACGAGCAAUGUGUCCCAUCUUGUUGCAAUUAUUGCAUUGCCAGGCUUGGCAAAUUCCCUUGUGGUGGUGGUUGCACCGGUCGCACUUCGGGAGUGUUCCUUUAUAUGGUCUGCUCGGUACUGGGAUGGCAGAGGUUUGUGGUUGUUGCCUGGCAAUUCUCUGAAACCGUUUGCGUUCCACUUUGGCUUGACGUUUUCUUUUGUUGAACUCUGAGUUGUUGUUUUGGGUGGUGGCGACUGUUACUAUUUGUUGAUUCCCCGGAUCGUUAACACGAUCGGGAUUGUCAACUCCUUUUUCAGCCUUGUUUGCGUUAGCAGUGUUGCGGUUUGCUAGGACUGCUGUCACGGCAGCCAUCACGGCAGCUGUAACCGUGGCUUGAAAAGUAGUGGCGUCCAUAGUAAAAGUAGAGGUCUCGUUGCUUGGCUGGUUGUUUCCGGAUGACGACAUGAUCCUGUAACACGAAAGAUAAGGAUUUUGUGAGUGAUUCUGGUUGACCAUUGAUGUACUUAGAUUGUUCAUGUAAAGAGUACGACUAUGUUCUCGAAAGUUUGACCUACAUCCCUAUGAUGCAGUCCUAGUACGGAAUGGAAGUAAGUUUGUAGAAUGGUCUCAGGACGUUUGUCGUUCAAGCCGAGGUAUUGUGGGUUGGUGAAUAACAUGAUCCAACCACUGAAAGAGACUGGGAAAUGUCUCCGGAUCUAACUUGCUAUAGUCCAAUGACUUGACUAAAGCAGGUUUCAGAUAGACUCCAAUGAGAGUAUGAUAAGAGUACUUGAAUAAAGGAAAUGACACAGAAGUUAGCCGACUGUCAAUAUCUUUGAUAUUCACGAUGUAAAGAUUCUGGAAAUUGACCUUGUAAAGUUCUUACAUCAUAUCCACAGAAGAUAGUUCCUGACAGCAUAAGGACCUCACCAAAGUACUUACGGUACAAGAUAAUUUCAUAGAGAAUGCCACAUCGGGCAUAGACAGAAAACACGAUUCCUUUUAAAUAAAGAAAUAAAGUAAGGCGUCUACUACUGGAAACGGUCAUCCUUCUGGUGAACUCUUAGUUCAGCCAAUUGACGUUCCAUUUCAAGUAGGUGUCUUUCGCACACCAUCUGGCGUACUCGGAGCUCUAUGACUUCGGCUCGUGAUUCAGCCAGUGCUUGCAGAAGGGUUUCAUGGUUUCCCUCUGAUCUCUCAUGAUCAUCUUCUAGACGAAUGGUGUGGAGGGUAUGCAUUCUCGUAUCGGCAACAACUUCGGUAAUCUGAUGUAAGGCUGUCCUGCGUUGAAUCUUAUUUCGGGCCACUCUGCGGACCAAAAUUGGCAAGACUCUAUCUGCUGAGCCCCCAUUGCUCAAGUCGUAAAAGCUUCGGUCGCCAUCAAAUGACAUAGGCUGAUCUUGUCCUUGGCUCCAUGUUUCCAAGCAUUCCACUUACUCAGGGUCGGGCCAUAAAAAGUCGGACGAGGGUUAGGAAUUGGAAAGGGAGCUACUCGGGGUAGGUUCUCAACCUCUGGUUCGGAGUUAGCUUCAUACGAAAGGUCUUCAUCAUGGUGAUCAUUCAAGGGGAUAGGAUGAUCAUUCUCUGGUUCUUCUCCAAACUAACCAGUUAUGACCUCACUCAGAAGGUAUUGGUUGUUAUGGGGAUGGAGUCCAGCUAUGUUUUCUAUGCGAGAAUUUAGGGUAAGAGAAUUAUUAUUAGACGAACUAUCUAGAUAAUUAUUUAGAAAACCUUCAUUAGUUACAUCGCUAUUUGUGAAGUGCAUACCAGCUAUGUGUAAUUUAAACAGGAUAGACCUUCGAAUAAGUGAACUUAAUUCCAAAUUCACACAGAAUAGGGGUAAGGCAAAAUUAUCACAGAUUCUAAGUCUAUAACAUCCUAAUUAUAUAUAGUCUUACUGUAUCCACUUAGCAACUAUCAACUUAGUAAUGAAGAUCCCGUUUUAGUUCUCAAGUAUAAAGUACUUAUAGUAACACCAAAUACUCCUAUAGUAUUUUAAUUUUAAUGUUAUGUUCUAUUGUUCUCAUUGUGGUAGGGUUGGUAAGAUUUUAGCAUUGUUGCAACCACACAAUUAAACUUAGGCACAUGCUAGUCAACCCUCGGAUAAUAUAGGUGAUCAGGCUAUAUCUUCCCAGUUUUGACCAUAUGUCUCUAAGCCCACUUGUGUUGCCCAACAAUCGUAAUUCUUUUGUACUGUCCUAGUGACACUGAUUUUAGUAUGAAUGCAGCACGUAUACUUACUUAAAUAUUUUACUAUUUAAAGUAUAAACUCUUGGUCAGAGUAUUUUUAAUCCCUUAUGUAUUUAUAGUUAGUAUAUCUUUUAUGGGUUGAUAUACUUAAUUCACUAUAAACAAUGCUCUGAUACCAAUCUGUCACACCCCAAAACCAAGAACGGCGGAAACGUUCUGGGGCGGAGGACGUCAUGUACAGUAUCACAACAAUGUAAAGUAGUAAACAAGCAACAACAUCAUCCAUUGCAUUAAUAAUAUAAUUAUUAUACAAAUGUGUUCUGUCAAAUUUUGAUAAACACUAAAGCAUAAAUCAAAAUGAAAGAUGAGUCUUGAACAAGCUCCAUCUUCCUUUCUCCUUGCAUCGGUACCUGUCUAUGAUGACCUGAGGAUACAAGUAAUUUUGAAAGCGAGUAUCAGCUUUGAAGCUGGUGAGAUCAUAAGUAUUUAGUGUCUUAAUUUGUAUGUAAGAAUUUGUAAGUAAAUGAAUUGUAAGUAUUGAAAAUGUAUAUGAACUGUAAGUAUGAAAAUGUUUGUAAAACAACUGUAAACGUUUGAAAAACUCUAGAAAUCCCUAUGAUUCCUACUAUUAUAUAAGGGUGUCUUCUACCAAGACCUAACUGUUCUCAAUGUAGUCUUCUACCAAGACUUAACUGUUCUAAAUGUUCGUGUCAUGUAAAAGUGUGUAAUUUUCCCAAGUGUAACUAUUAUUAACAAAAUAUAGUUUUUACAUUUAUAGUUUAAGUGAAAAGAUCACUAAAUAUAUGUACAGGGAAAAUUAAUGUAGUACUAAAACGUAGCGCUAUAAGAACUACUGCUGUACUAACUACCUUAAACCGGAUUUAUAUUAAGGCAUCAUGUGAUAAAUUGCACCAUACUAUAGACUGGUAACAACGACAACGUAUAGUCGAAAAUAAGGUAUGACGUUUGGCACCCGCAGACCUGCUGGUCCUGCUGUAGCUAGCAGCAAGGUGUAGGAUAGUCAAUCCAGUAUAGAUCUAUACGCAAACUCACGCUCUCCCUCCAAGAGACUCUGACUACAACCCGGGUCAUGACAAUUAAGGCAUGCUCCCAGACAGUGGAUCAUAAUUUUAUUAGCGUAUUAAUGUAAGUGUAAUAUAACGAACUGUUCUAGCUGUAAUGUACGUGCUCCCUAUCUAGCAAGUAUAGUAAUGUACUGUAAUGUUCUAGAAAGUAUAGACUCAUGAAUGAACUGACUCAUUGUAUGAUAUCGUGUUCUAGUAAUAGUUCUAGUAUCUUCCUAAACUACCCAUAUGGUAGUUUACUAGUAAUCUAACUGGUACGUAUGGACAUGGAUGUAUACCCUUGCUACCCAAGGGCAUGGGAUGAACUGGAAGGACCUUUUAUGACUAUAUAUGUACACAUGAUAUAUAACUAAUAUUUAAACGACCUUCGGACGAGUACCCGAUAUCCCACCAGACCACAUCUCAAGCGCGAAAAGGAAAUAGGGUGGAUAGCCUUCUUAAGUCUUUUAAACAUUUCUUAUAUAACUAUACAUAUAGAGGCAUGCAACUUAUAAUGUAAAAGCAUAAAUAAGUUUUGUAAAGCAUUUGAACAUAAAUAUUAUUUUAAGAAAAGACCGACUUGAUGUCAAUCUAUAAAACAGUUUGAAGGCAUAAGUUUGAUAAAACAGUUUAAGUAUAAAGAAACAUUUGUUUGAAACACAAUUGUAAAUAAGUUUGAAAUGUAAUAUACAGAGUAAGAUGUACAGUGUAAUAAGGAGUUUAAAACAUAUAAAAUGUUUAUAAAAAUCAUUUGAAGGAAACUGUUUGGUAAAACGGCUAAUGAGUAGCCAAAUCAUUUGAAUGUUGUAUAUUAAUCACAUGUGAUUGAUAUAAUAACUAGCAUAAUUCUACUUGUAAAUCACAUGUGAUUGAUAUAAUAACUAGCAUGAUUCUACUUGUAUCCCCCCCCAUAAAACAUUUAAAAAUAGUUUAAAACAUUAGUUAAGGGGUAUGAACUCACCUGCAGUAAGUGACUGGAGUUGAACGGACUGUUAUCAUAAGGAAGGAUCGGACAAGUGCUUGGUGUCAAGUGAAGACUUAGACACACACAAUGAUCCUAAUUACAUAUGAAGACAUAUGUAUAUAAAUAAUUAGUGAUUAAAACACUAAUUAUACAAGUAUAAGCAUUUAAACGCGAGGAAAACACUUUUGGUCAAGUGCUAGGAGACUAAUGGGUUGCAACAAAGGAGUGCAAUGCCCCUAAUGGGCGUUUAAGGUCUAAUGACCAUAUUCUUUGGAGUUUACGGCCCAGGGGAGUAAACGCCUGUCCGUAAACUCUCAACCAAGUCUCUAAAUGAAGCUUAGAAUUAUUACAACUCAUGUGGUGAAUUGUUUCAAGGCUUUAACAAGUGUUUGGGUGCCAUAUUAACUCCUUUGGGGAGUUUACGGCCCAGAGACCAUAUUCCCUUGGAGUUUACGGCCGUAAACUCCCUUGGGAGGGUUUUUAUGGUGUUUUCAAGUCUCAAACAUUUCUAGGUAAUGAUCUAUGUUGGGUUCUAGGCAUAAGGAAGGAGUUAGGGUGUCAUUUGACCCCUUUAUAGGUGUUUACGGCCCAAGAGUUUGUCUUGGCCGUAAACUCCUUUUUCCUUGUGAUUCCUUAUGUUUUCUAGGCUUUAAACACUUUAGGGAACUUUUCCUAAUUGAAGUCUAAGCUUUAGGAGUGAUUAGGGCACAUUUAAGCCCUUGAAUUUUGUGUUCACGGUCCAAGAAACUCUUGGGCCGUAAACACCUAAAGCUAGGUUAUCUUGAUUGUUUUCUAGUCUCAAAUGAUCACACAUAUUAUCCUAAGCUAGUUACCUAACAAGGAAAUGGGACUAGAUGGCCUUUAAGCUUCAUUUUGGAGUUUACUCCCCAAGAACGUUCUUGGGCGGUAAACUCCCGGAUCUCAUAUAUUUGACAUACAAUCUAUGUUAAUAAGCAUAAAACAAGCAUUAUAACACAACUAGAGAAGUGUACUCACGAUUUGGGAUGAAAACCCGAAGAGCCGUGAGAGAGAAAACAGCUUUUCUCUAGUUGGAAAUGUGAAUAAUGAAUGAAUUUAGUUCAGAAAUAUAUUUAUAGUCCUGAAAUAUUUUUCGCAGAAAAUAUUUUUAUUCCAGAAUUGGACUCUAACAUUAUGAAGUUUUGAAAUGCUCAAGUUUCACAAUCCCAUGAGCAUCCACUCUCCUGAUAUCUCCUUAAACGUAAACCCUAAUGUACACAAACUUAUUCGGAAAAGUCUGAAAUUCAUUGAAACUGGACUAGCUUCUAUUGGCUUCAAAUGGUUGAUUCAGAAUGGAAAUUUCGGGUUGUCACAAAAACCUAGUACCAAUACCACUAGGGUUUAGUCUAACGAUAAUCGCGACAAUUUAAUUAGUCUGACUAUUAUUAUUAUUAUAUAAGCGUUAAUAACACUCAAUAUAACUCAUAAUAAUAGCCCAAAUAAUUAUUUUAAGAACCUAAUAUCAUUCCUAUAAUUAUUUGAAACCUAUAUUAAAAAUUACGUAAGCGUAGCUCACUUACAACGGAUUUUAACGAAAACUGGAACUUUAUUUGGAGCAGCUUUUCGAAACCAAAAGACUCUUUUUCUCGGGACUCCGGGAGCCGCGGAGCAUCCCUCGUGAGCUAGGGGUUUUAUCUAGGGCUUAAGGGGGUUUAGAGCACCUAGAGAGAGAGAGAGAGUAGUGAGAGAAGUAUUAAAGAAAUAGUGUGAGAAAUCGGCUGCCUUCGCACCCCUUUUAUAGGUGCAAGGCCUUGCAUGUAUGCUGGGCGUAAGGAGGCUACGCGGGGCGUAGUCCUCGGAUAAGGCUUCCAGGUCGGAUCCAGCUGGCUCGCACGCGCCUACUCUCGAAGUGUAUAAGAAGUGAACGUACGCGGGGCGUACUAGGCCUCGGACGCGGGGCGUAGCGAAGCGACGUGUCACCAUCCGAAGGGAGCACCGUGAGCCGCAAGCGACGACUGUGAUCUUGCCACGUCAUCACCCAUUGCACUAGCUUCGCAAAUUCGAGUUACAACUUCAAAAAUUCGUAACUUUCACGUAGGAUGUCCGUUUUCGAUGUUCUUUAUAUUCACGCGAAGUUGGGAAUGUACUCUACAACUUUCGUUUAGACUCCGUCGGCUAAUUUUGACUCGAUUUUAAAUUUAUAUUAUUAACAGGCCAGGACAGGAUUGGUCCGGUAAAUUCUCAUAACUUCUUCAUCCGACAUCCAUUUUUGCCCAUCUUUUUCUCGUUACGCUACCCUUAACGAGAUCUUCGAUUGUCGUUCAGGUCGGGUCGGCUAAAAACCGCUCGUUCUAAUAUUCAAAUUUCGAGCUAUACACCGCUAAUCUGAAACUUUGAAAAAUCAUAACUUCUUCAUACGAAGUCAGAUUUGGACGUUCUUUUUAUCGAUGUUCUUAGUUUAACAUAUUCUACGACUUUCGUUUAGAUUGCUAAGGCUAAAUAUCGCUCUAUCGUAAAUUCACCAUUUACGAUUCCCGGUAUCGUGUCGGUUCUGUCGCGACACUUCGACGGGUCAUAACUUCUUUGUUAUAACUCAGAUUUCGGUGUUCUUUAUAUCCCCAAAAUCCUUGUUUCGACCACUACAACUUUAUGUAGAGAUAUCGGGCUUAUCUCACACUUUAAUUUUGAAGUUUAUUUUUAUUCUUUAUUAAUUAUACAUUUAUAAUUAAAUAAUAAGCACAUAAACACACAUAAUUCACAUAAUACUCAAAUAUUUCAUCUUUAUUACUUCAAAAAGAGUUACAAUAGUUGAACUAGACUAUUACAUUGACAAAAAUGUUUAGCCCUCAAACCCGGGCGUUACAGUUAUGAGCUUACGACCGUAAACUGAAGGUUUUACGACCGUAAACUCAAUGGGUUAUGGUCUUUAGGGAGUAAACUCAUAUUAGGGGUUCUUUUGAACCCUAAACUCAAUGGCCUUGUCCUACAACACUUAGAUGCAAUCCUUAGCACUUAUAACACUUAUAUAAAGUGUUUAACAUGUCUUAGGAUGUCUUAACUUUGUUAUUUAAUUGUUUAAAGGAUAAUUGGUUACAUAUAUGUGAUAUUAUAUGUUAACUAGGAUCACAGAGUGUGUACAAGUCUUCACUUGACACCUAGCAUCCUAUACAGUCCGUUCAAUCCCAACCACUUGCUACAGGUGAGUUCAUACCCCUUAAUCAAUGGUUUAAAUGUUUUUAAAUGCUUUUAUGGAGGGAUACAAGUUGAAUCAUGCUAGUUAUUAUAUCAAUCACAUGUGAUUAAUAAGUAGCAUAUAAAAAGGAUUUACUACUCUUUUAGCUGUUUUACCAAAUAGAUUACUUCAAAUGGUUUUCCAAAAUGUUUUUACUUGUUUAAAACUCUUUAUCAAACUGUCUUACAUACUGAAGGUUUCUUUUCAAACUCUAUUACAAUUGUGAUUCAAAACAAAAGUCUCCUUAUACUUUAAAUUGUUCUCAUCAAACCAAUUGUUUUCAAAUCGUUUUACACACUGAAAUCAAGUCAUUUUUUCCUAGUUAUAAAACUUUUUAAAGGUUUUACAAAACUUCUUUUAUACUUUUAUAUUGUCAAUUGCAUGCCUGUAUAUGUAUAGUCAUAUAAGUAAUGUUUAAAGGACUUAGGAAGACUAGCUCGCUUUACCUCCUUUUCCUCGUUGGGAUGUGGCUUUAGGGCAUAGGUUAUCUGUCCGAAGGUCGUCUAAAUAUUAGUUGCGUAUUAUGUAUACAUAUAUAGACUUAAAACUUCUAUCAGUUAAUUCAAUACCCUUGGGUAGAAGGGGUAUACGUUCAUGUUCAUACGUACCGGUUAUAUUACUAGUAAGCUACAAUAGGAGUAGUUUAGGAAGUUACUAAUACUAUUACUAGAACGCGGAAUCAUACCACGAGUCAGUUCAUUCAUGAGUCAAUACUUGCUAGAUAGAGAGGGAGAGAGGACACAUUAUAGCUAGUACAUACAGUACAUUACUAUACAUGCUAGAUAGAGAGAGAACACACAUUACAACUAUUACACAUAGUACAUUACAAUACUAUACAGAGAGAAUAUACAGGCUAGACAGAGGGAGAACAUACAAUAUAACUAGCAUUCAUUACAUAUACAUUCAUGCAGUUAUGUGAGCCAUUAAACAGAUCCUGGCACUUCCUGCCAUGACCGUUUUUGUAUCCAAAAUCUCCUUAAUUGGGAGCGUAUGAGUUUGCGUAUAGAUCUAUACUAGAUUGACUAUCCUACACCUUGUUGCUCGCUACAGUGGGACUUGCAAGUCUACAGGUGCCAAAUGUCAUUUCUUACGGCGUCUUACAUCUUCGUUUUACUAGAGUCAAUAGCAGGAUACAAGUCGAUCACAUGUUACUUUAAAUUACAAUAGAUUUAAGGUAGUUAGUACGGUUGUAGUUAUUUAAUACUACACUAUAGUACUAUUUCAUUUUCCCAUUACAUUCACUUCGUGAACAUUCACACGACGCACGGUAAUGUAGAAACUAUAUUUUUGGUUAAUGAUAGUCAGAUUUGGGUAAAUACACACUUUUACAAGGGAAACAGUCAAUACUAGAUGCCUUGGUAGAAGGCUACUUUCAGUAGGAAGCAUAGGGUUUUCUAAGAUAUUCAAAUCUUUGACAUAUUCAUACUUAUAAUUACAUUUUUACAAAUACUGACACUAAAAUACUUAUGAUCUCACCAGCUUUAAAGCUGAUACUCUCUUUCAAAAUAACUUGUAUCCUCAGGUAGCCAUUAGACAGGUACCGAUGCAAGGUUUAGAGAAGAUGGAGCUCGUUUAAGACUCAUCUUUCAUU